rnacentral:rRNA from 1 species
UACGUAGGUCCCGAGCGUUGUCCGGAUUUAUUGGGCGUAAAGCGAGCGCAGGUGGUUUAUUAAGUCUGGUGUAAAAGGCAGUGGCUCAACCAUUGUAUGCAUUGGAAACUGGUAGACUUGAGUGCAGGAGAGGAGAGUGGAAUUCCAUGUGUAGCGGUGAAGUGCGUAGAUAUAUGGAGGAACACCGGUGGCGAAAGCGGCUCUCUGGCCUGUAACUGACACUGAGGCUCGAAAGCGUGGGUAUCGAACAGG